ensembl:lncRNA
UUUUUUUCUUGGUGUCAUUUUUUACAUCAUUUUAAGUGGGGUGUGUAGACUUUUUAUAUCCACUGUACCUGUCAUAUUUGGUCUGGCAAGGCUUCCUUGAAGGAUUGCAGCUGCCACUGUGUCACCUGUGUGGCAUCAUUAAUGAUGAGAACAGGUGAAGGUAAUAUGUAGUCCUGUUUGUAAUAUUACUAUAAUAUUGUAAGAGGUUAUGAUGAGGUUAAACAGUUAUCGGAAUGAAAAAAUUAUAAUCGGUACAUGCCUACUGCCAAGUGUGCUUUGUAACAGUCACAAAAAAAAUUGCGCUUUGGAGAAUAAUCUUUUUUUUUUUUUGUGACAUUUAUGGAUGACAGUAUAAUGGCAAACAAUAAUAAUAAUAAUAAUAAUAAUAAUAAUAAUAGUAAUAAUAAUAAUGGCAUUUGGUGUAUUUGUGUGCAGUAAUGUGUUUAUUUGGCUUUAUAAGGAUGUUAAUAAGGAUUGUAAGGGUUUUUAAAGCUGCAGGUGGUGCGACUGUUGCGUGAGAAUCCUGUUCUCAUAAUUAAACACAGCGAAGAGAGUAUUUGGACUAAAAACUGCAGAAAACUUUGGACGUUUCUUUUGCUGUUCAAACUCAACGAUGACCUGUGACUGCGUGACUCAUUUCCCCAAACUUUUUUACUUAUUUACUAUCAAUGCUAUUUUCUAAGUGUUUGUAAUAUACCAUGUGCAAAUAAUAUUCAUGUUCACUGCUGUAGCAUAACACGUAGGUUUUUAAACUUUUUAUAUAUGGCACUUUGCUUUUACUUUUUUCCUGGCUCCCUUUGUGAACGAUACAAAGCGGAUCAUUUCCAUACGUGUGUGUCUCCCGCAUUGUGGGCCGGGAGUCCAUGCAGGCUGAAGCAUGAGCUGGAGAAAUGAAUCACUUCAGCAUUCCCUUUGGGGCUCGACAUGGAAGAACAAGGACUAUAUAUGGAUGUCAGUGGAUACAUGAGGACACGUGGCUUCUUGCUCAGGAGAGACUUGUCGUUUUCCUGUAGCUGUUAGCAGGAGCUUGCUUGUGGAGACAAAGGGGAGGACACCUCACAAGAUAGCGGCUCCAUCACUGAUCCUGUGACUGCAAGGUGUGCGUGUGCGCGUGCGUGUGUGUGUGUGCGCGCGCGCGCAAAAGCUGUCUCAGUGGAAAUAUGCAUUCAUGACGUAAUAAUGAUAUAACAGUAAUAACGAUGAUUGAUAUGAUGCUAACACCAGUGUGGAGUGUUGAAGCUGUAACGCUGUUUGAGGUUUAAUAGGUUACUUAUAUGAUGUAUUUGUAGCAGUUUUUCCCCCUCAAUAAAACCACUG